rnacentral:rRNA from 1 species
UACGUAGGGUGCAAGCGUUAUCCGGAAUUAUUGGGCGUAAAGAGCUCGUAGGCGGUUUGUCGCGUCUGCUGUGAAAACUGGGGGCUCAACCCCCAGCCUGCAGUGGGUACGGGCAGACUAGAAUUCGGUAGGGGAGACUGGAAUUCCUGGUGUAGCGGUGAAAUGCGCAGAUAUCAGGAGGAACACCGAUGGCGAAGGCAGGUCUCUGGGCCGAUACUGACGCUGAGGAGCGAAAGCGUGGGGAGCGAACAGG